rnacentral:lncRNA from 1 species
GUGACACAGCCCUCAGGAGGUCCUGAGAACAUGUGCCCAAGGUGAUUAGGGCACAGUCCGAUUUUAUAUAAUUUGGGGAGACAUCAAUCAAAUACAUCCAAGAUGUACAUUAGUUUGGUUCAGAAAGGAGGGACUACUCAAAGCAGGAGCUUCCAGGCCACAGGGAUACUCUGCUGUUCCCAGGUUAAGACCUGAGGCAGAUUCGACACCUGGGCUCCACCGGCAGAAUGGCAGAGUGGCAGAGUGGCAGAGAAGGAGAGAAGAGAAGCAGCCAAACGUCGGAGAGAAGCAGCUUGACUUCAGAGGAACGGCUUGACAGUGGGACCUUGGAGAAAAGUUUGGCUGGGGACGGCCGAACUCCAGGAGAAGACUACCUUCCCACUCCAUCCCCUUUCCAGUUCCCCAUCCCACUGAGAGGCACUUUUAUUGGCAAUAAAUUCCUCCACAUUUACGAUCUUCGAUUCAUUCAUGUGACCUGAUUCCUCCUGGAUUCCGGACAAAGAUCUGGGUGCAGAUGCAAGAGUCGUCACACUGACCCUCCACUGAGCUAUCUAACAUUUAAGCCGUCCACAGACAGUAAAACUAAAAGAGUACGGUGUUUUAAUGGAGGAAGAUAAAUAAGAGAGAAGGACACAGGAAAAGUGACAUAAUUCACUGAUAACAGACAACAGGAAGAAUAAUCAUGUCCCAUAUCAGCCUGGGAAGGUAAGAAAGGCAUCAUUACAAGGAGUAGAAUAACAGCUCUCAAGCUGGUUCAGUGGGCAAAAUAUCUGGAAAAUUUCAUCAAUGGAAAGGAUGAUAAUAAUCUAGGUCACUAUUUCUGAUUCAAGCCUGUGGGAACAAAUGUGUUUCAGAAUUUUAAAAUGUUUUCAUUUUGGAAAGGUAAUGUCUAGCUCAGGCUACUAUAACAAGGUACCAUAAACUGGGUGGCUUAAACAACAAACAUUUACUUCUCACAAUCCUGGAGGUUGGAAGUCUGAGAUCAGGGUGUCAGCAGGGUUGAGUUCUGGUCUAUAGAUGGCUGGCUUCUUGCUGUGACCGCAUAUGACAGAAAUAGAGCUAGCUAGCUGGCUUCUUCUU